rnacentral:sRNA from 1 species
AAGAAAUCUAUUGAAAAUUAACAUUAUUAAAAGAGGGUAUAUUUGUCAUUUGUUUUUUGGACUAAAUCAUCUUCAUCCAAAUGGGUCUACCAAGUCCAUCCAAAUGAGUUUCACAAAUUAGCCUAAAUUUAUAAAGUCAUUCAGAUGGAACAUUCAAAUGAUUCAUCCAAAUGAUCUGUUAAUUUGUCAAAAACAAACAUCAUUUUUCAUCUCCAUCCAGAUAAAUCAUCUGGAUGGAGAAACAAACAGGACCUUAGGCAUGUGAGUUUCUGAUGUAGAAAUUGGUGCAACUCUUGAUGUAUCAUAUAAAAUGCAUAAAAAAAAAUUCAAAAUACUAAAAUGCCCUGAUUGUUACUAAA